rnacentral:rRNA from 1 species
UACGGAGGGAGCUAGCGUUGUUCGGAAUUACUGGGCGUAAAGCGCGCGUAGGCGGUUUAUCAAGUCAGAGGUGAAAUCCCGGGGCUCAACCCCGGAACUGCCUUUGAAACUAGUAGACUAGAAUCUUGGAGAGGUCAGUGGAAUUCCGAGUGUAGAGGUGAAAUGCGUAGAUAUCGGGAGGAACAUCAGUGGCGAAGGCGACUAUCUGGACCAAUACUGACGCUGAGGUGCGAAAGCGUGGGGAGCAAACAGG